ACCUGCAUUCGCAAGUGAUUGUGGGCUGCCUGUGCCCUGGUCGUUGAUAAUGCAGGGAGAGGAACUGCUGAAAGCAUUUCCCCGUGUUUGGAGGGUCUGCCCCCAGUUGGUUCCAAACCUUGGAGCUUUCGUACA
ensembl:snoRNA SNORA71 Small nucleolar RNA SNORA71